UGCACGGUGGUGCAGUUGGUAGCUCUGCUGCCUUGCAAGAAGAUCCUGGGUUUGACUCCCAGUGUUCUUUGCAU